GAUGAACGCUGGCGGCGUGCCUAAUACAUGCAAGUCGAGCGCGAGAGUGAGGAGCUUGCUCCUCAUGAUCGAGCGGCGGACGGGUGAGUAACACGUAGGCAACCUACCCUUGAGAUUGGGAUAACUACCGGAAACGGUAGCUAAUACCGGAUACGACUUUUCCACAUAAGUGGAAUGGUUAAAAGGCGGAUUUAUCUGCCGCUCAUGGAUGGGCCUGCGGUGCAUUAGCUAGUUGGUGAGGUAGUGGCUCACCAAGGCGACGAUGCAUAGCCGACCGGGGAGGGUGAUCGGCCACACUGGGACUGAGACACGGCCCAGAGGCCUACGGGAGGCAGCAGUAGGGAAUCUUCCGCAAUGGACGAAAGUCUGACGGAGCAACGCCGCGUGAGUGAUGAAGGGUUUCGGCUCGUAAAACUCUGUUGUUAAGGAAGAACACUUGAGGUAGUAACUGGCCUUGAGAUGACGGUACUUAACCAGAAAGCCACGGCUAACUACGUGCCAGCCGCCGCCGUAA
rnacentral:rRNA from 1 species